CGGGUGACCUUUCGAAUCAAAGCCCGGCUCGUACCUACCAAGGUGCAUUGGCCAGCAAGGGCUUGGGGGGGGGGGGGGGGGGGAUGUGAUGGGGAGGGGGGGGGGGCGAUGCACCCGGGCUCUCCCCCUCCCUCUGCCUUUCCCCCUCCCUCCCCUCCCUCCUCCCUCCCUCGCUGCUCCCUCCCUCCCUCCCUCUCUGCUGCAUUUUGCAUGAGCUAUCUAGGUCAUUAGCAUUUUAGCGUAUGCAAGACUUGACAAAGCUGAUGAGAAGCCAGAUGGGCCCCUCUCCUCUUUUUUUUGCACCACUUGGGAUCUGAGCGAAAGGAUUGACUGCAGCAGGCGAACGGGGGAAGGUUUAUCGCGCUCCUCCAGACCCCCCCCGUUUAUAGCAGCGCGGCGGGGCUCGGGGAAGGCGGCAGAGAGCGGGCAGCGGCGGGCAGAGACGGAGGGCAGGCCCCUCUCUCCGUGUUCACAGCGGACCUUGAUUUAAAUGUCCAUACAAUUAAGGCACGCGGUGAAUGCCAAGAACGAGGCUGACCAGCAUCGAGGCCGGAGGCGGCUCCGCGGCUCUCCGCACCCGCGGAACCCCCCCCUUCAACCCCCACCCCCCCCAAACCCCCCCACCCCCCCCAAAGCCCGGCCGCGGGGCGCGCAGGCAGCGCUGCGCACCGGCGCAGGUGGCACCCGCAGCGCGGGGGGGAGAGAGGGAUGGAGGGGAGUUGGGGGGGGGGGGAUGUAGCGUCUUUUGGGGGGGAUCCCUGGGAAAAAAAUGGUGGGGGGGUGUCCCUGCGCGCACACGCGCCCGGGGGCUGAAAUGCGGAGCUGUCACUCGGGGGUGACCCGCGGGUGGGCCCCGGGGAGGGGGGGGGGGCCCGCGGCUGCUGCCCCCGGGGCUGCUCCGCUGCCGCCGCUUUGUGCUUUUGCCUUUUCUCUCGCCUUUUCUCCGCAGAGCGAUGGGGGGUUGGUUUGUUUUGGGUUUGUUUUUUGGUUUGGGGGUUUUGGGGGUUUUUUUUUGUUUUUUUUUUCUUUUUUUCUUUUUUUCCCCUGCUAAAAAGCAAGGGCAGGUCUUGGGGUCACCGGGGCUCACGCUGCUCCCCCGGCGGGGGCGGGGAGGGGGGGGGGGAUGCUGGGGCAAAGCCGCUUUUUUUCUUUAAUUUUUUAAAGCUUUAUUAUUAAUUUUUUUUUUUUCCGGUGGCUGUUUGUGUGUCUUUCCCCUUCACACCCCACACCCCCCUCCUCUACUUUAAUCCUUAUAAUUUAAAUCAAAAGUGCCGGGGAGGCGAAGGGGGGGGGGGGGGUUAGCGCUGUGUCUGCAGGGCGAGGCCGGGCGUAAAUCUCUUGGAGGGAUAAACAUGUCAUUUGUUCCCUUUGUAUGGUAAUGCUGUGUGUGUGUGUGUCCCCCCCAACCCCCCCCCCCAGCUGCCCCCCCGGCAGCUGCCCCGGCCAUACAUCCUCCCUACAAAAGAUCCCAAUUACCCAUCGGCUGCCUCAUUAUACCCCUAACACAGCCCCGGCGAGAGGCGUGUGUGUGCGAGGAGCCGAGGGGAGGGGGGGGUGGGGGAAAGGAGAAGGGGGGAGGUGGAGGAGGAGGAGGAGGGGGUGGUGGUGGGGGGGGAAACCAGCACCUGAAUUAUUCAGAAAAUAAAAUAAAAUUCAUAGAAGCUGGAGGCCCGGGGCGGCGGGGGUGGGGGGGGGGGGGCGGGGGGGGGGACGGAGGGAUGCUGCGACCCCGCGGCCUAACGCGGAGCGGGUGCCCCCGCAGAGCCGCCUGCUCCGCUUCCACCCUGCUUUUAUAUUAUUUCCCCCUCCUUUUUCACGUUUUAUUAUUUAAUUUCUUUUUUUUUUUUUUUUUUUCUCCGCCUUUUUAACCAGAGGGGUGCCCAUCGCCACCCCCCCUGCCCUCCACCUCCUCCCAUCCCUUCUCCCAUCCCUUCCCCUCUCUUUGCAGCCGGAGGCCAACCUGCCCUGCAUCCCUCCAUCCCUGUGCCCAAUCCGCUGUCCCAGUGCUCCCAGCAGUUGCCUCGCACUGAGCAAGGACAGGCCUUACUGGAGGGGAUGGUCCCCCCCACUCCAUGGGCCGGCUGCAGAGCUGUGCCCAGGCUGGCAGGAGGGGGGGGCCUUUGAUGAUGGUUUGGGGGGGGUCCAUCUCUCUUUGCAGCCCUGCGCGCAGACCCUCGCUUCUGGGACGGUGCCCAUGGGAGCAUUGACAGCAGCUCGGGGUCCCUGGGACGCCUCAUUGCACCCCAACCCGCCCCCGGGGUGCUGCAGGUAUUUGGGGGCAGCCCCCCCCGGGCUUGUAGCUCGGCUGGUGCGGAUGCCGCAAGGAGUCCGUCGGGUCGUGCCGUGCCAAUAAAGGUCUUUCGCUGCGGG